rnacentral:rRNA from 1 species
UACGAAGGGGGCUAGCGUUGCUCGGAAUUACUGGGCGUAAAGCGUACGUAGGCGGCUUGUUAAGUCGGGGGUGAAAUCCUGGAGCUCAACUCCAGAACUGCCUUCGAUACUGGCGAGCUCGAGUUCGGGAGAGGUGAGUGGGACUGCGAGUGUAGAGGUGAAAUUCGUAGAUAUUCGCAAGAACACCAGUGGCGAAGGCGGCUCACUGGCCCGAUACUGACGCUGAGGUGCGAAAGCGUGGGGAGCAAACAGG